ACCUGCCGAAAGGCAGCGGCGACGUCCGUCUGGUCCUCGAGCGUAUGGGGCUCUGUCACUCGCUCGGGAAGGACCUGCGGGGGUUGGUCACCACCACAUUUUCCAUUAUGGUUGACCUCGGAUCAGGUAGGAGUUACCCGCUGAACUUAAGCAUAUCAAUAAGCGGAGGAAAAGAAACCAACCGGGAUUGCCUCAGUAACGGCGAGUGAAGCGGCAAGAGCUCAAAUUUGAAAUCUGGCCCUUUCAGGGUCCGAGUUGUAAUUUGCAGAGGAUGCUUCGGGUGCGGUCCCCAUCUAAGUGCCCUGGAACGGGCCGUCAUAGAGGGUGAGAAUCCCGUCUGGGAUGGGCGGCCGUGCCCGUGUGAAGCUCCUUCGACGAGUCGAGUUGUUUGGGAAUGCAGCUCUAAGUGGGUGGUAAAUUUCAUCUAAAGCUAAAUACUGGCCGGAGACCGAUAGCGCACAAGUAGAGUGAUCGAAAGAUGAAAAGCACUUUGAAAAGAGAGUUAAACAGCACGUGAAAUUGUUGAAAGGGAAGCGUUGUCCACCAGACUCGCCCGGGGGGGUUCAGCCGGCACGUGUGCCGGUGUACUCCUCUCCGGGCGGGCCAGCAUCGGUUUGG
rnacentral:rRNA from 1 species